ACCGCCACCCACCGCCCCGCUGGCUGGAGCCUCACCGCCCGGCGCGGCGGCAGCCCGGGCACGCGUUGCCCGCGGGCCCGCCUUUUGGAAUUCAAACUACUUGAAACGCAUUCCGAGUGGAGACGGACGAGUUUGGGGCGACUUUGCACACCUCCGCUUCACGGACAACCCUGUCCUCGCCGUGCUCUUUCUGCCGCAGUACGAAAGCGACAGAGGAAGCCGAACGCGGCCGCCGAGGAAACGUGCCGCUCCGAGCCCCGCCGCGGGGUGCCGACGGGCCGCCCGCCCCACAGCCCGGCUCCAGCCCUCAGCCCGCCCACUCCCCAGCGCCCGCAGCUCCUCCCCCGUCUGGCGGCUGUUGCCUGCCUGCCCGCCCGCCCGCCACGACGCCCUGGCUGCCGCAGCUUCUCCGCUCUGCUUGACAGGGGCGAACAAAGGCCGCCGCGCCCGCCGUCCCCCUCCUCGCAGCGGGGCCUUGGCGGUUCCGCACAGGCAGCGCCGGUAGGAGAAGCCGCCGCCCCGCCGCAGCGACCUGCGGCCCUCGGAGCGCCGGCAGGGCUUACAGUUUUCUGAAGUGGAGCCUGCCGUGCAUUUUGAGUCAACAACCAAAGUUUUCAGGUAUUCCAUGCAGUAUUAAGCGAAUGUUUGGGUAGGAAGAUGCAUUGCUUGUACGUCUCCAUUUAGGAGUCAGACUGAAGAAUAAUGAUUUAAAGUGACUGACAUCAUGACAACCAUAAGACAGAGAAGGGUUGAAAAGGGCACAGAAGCAGCUGAAGAUCAGCCUUCAGAGGAGAAGAAUGUGAAGCCUGAUGGGAAAAUUCUGCCUGGUCAUACAGGUGGAAAGCUCUGGAGCAUACUCUCAAUAACUGUUGGUGGAAUUGUUGCCAUCUCUCUUGGUCUUCUUACUUCUGUUUAUGUUGCUACACUGCAUGAAAAUGACCUGUGGUUUUCCAAUAUUAAGGAAGUUGAAAGAGAAAUUUCAUUCAGAACAGAAUGUGGACUUUAUUAUUCCUACUACAAAGAGAUGAUUCAGGCGGCUUCCAUCCAGCAAGGUUUACAUGGUUUAGUAUAUGACAAUAAAACUGAAUCUGUGAGGACAAUUAACAUACUUGAAAGAAUGAAUAUUUACCAGGAGGUGUUUCUCAGCAUUCUGUAUAGGAUUCUUCCAAUUCAGCAAUACCUAGAGCCUGUUUAUUUUUAUAUCUACACUUUGUUUGGACUUCAGGCAGUUUAUGUCAUUGCUCUGUAUGUAACAAGCUGGCUUCUUAGUGGAACGUGGCUUUCAGGGUUAUUGGCAGCUUGCUGGUAUAUUACAAACAGAAUAGAUACUACAAGAGUAGAAUUCACCAUUCCUUUGAGAGAGAACUGGGCACUGCCAUUCUUUGCUGUUCAGAUAGCAGCCAUCACAUACCUACUCAGAACUCAUUUACGGCCUGUUCAAGAAAGAUUGACACUUAUGGUUGUAUUCAUAGCAACGUUUCUCUUUAGCCUGACUUGGCAAUUUAAUCAGUUUAUGAUGCUGAUACAAGCAUUGGCAUUAUUCAUACUGGACUGUGUUGACAUGCUUCCCACAGCAAAGGUUACAUGGCUCUAUAUCAUUCAGAUUUCUGGAUUACUGCUAGUCUGUGUCCUACAGUUCUUUAAUUCUAUGAUUCUUGGAUCAUUACUUAUAAGUUUUAAUGCUUCUGUCUUGAUAGCACGAACAGUCCAGAAAAACCUAAAAAAGGGCAGGUUGCUUAAUAGGCUUGGGAAACUUAUCCUCCAUGUACUAUUAGUCUUGUGCUUGACUCUCCUAAUAAAUAAAUUCAUCAAGAAAAUUCUUAAUCUUGAAUCAGAUGAACAUAUAUUCAAAUUCCUGAAAGCAAAAUUUGGAUUUGGGGCAACGAGAGAUUUUGAUGCUAACCUAUAUCUUUGCGAAGAAGCUUUUGGUUUACUACCAUUAAAUACUUUUUCAAGACUCUCGGAUACAUUACUUUUUUACGUCUAUGUAUUUGUUCUCUUCUUUAUGACAAUAGCAGCUGUAAUUGUUGCCUUUCGGAACCUCAGUGAUUCAAAUCAAGUCCAGUUCAUGGCAAAAAUGGAAGAGUGCACAAUAACACUGAAGCCUGAUGCUGCUUACAACUUAAUUCACACAGUUCUUUUUGGAUGUCUGGCAUUAAGCACAAUGAGAAUGAAGUACCUCUGGACAUCCCACAUGUGUGUAUUUGCAUCUUUUGGCCUGUGCAGUACGGAAGUAUGGAAACUCACCCUGAGGUGUAUUCAUCUCUACACAUCACAGAGGACGCACAUGAUUAAGUAUUCUAUACCAAUAAUUACAUUACUGUACAUAUCAUAUAAGUUCUGGCCAGGAAUAAUGGAUGAACUGUCAGAGCUGAGAGAAUUCUAUGACCCAGACACUGUGGAGCUGAUGAACUGGAUUAAACAACAGGAACAACAUGCUCAUUUGUGAGAUGGGGAAGAAUAUCAGUAGAAUGAGCAAAACAAUAGCGUGAACUUCCCUACUCUGUUUACUUCUGAGAAGUGUCAUUCAGUGGUUUGAAGCACAUCAGCUGCCUUGGAUACAGACCACAGCAGUUAGUAUCUGACUCAGGUAGGAGUAUUAGAGAAAGACGCUUGCAUCGAAUGUAGAAAUCACCCUGUACCUGAAAAAUGUUAGUUAAUUGUCAUGUCUCCCUCUAGUGGCUGUUUUGGAAGAUAAACACUCAGUAAGGGCCGCCUGCUGAGAGUUCAAGAUGUAGUUAAGGAGGGCAGACAUUGCAUGAAGCUCAGCAUCACCUCCCAGCUUCCAAGUGUCUGUCCACAGCAGUGAAAUCCAGCGCCAGGUUUGUGCUCUAGGCAUUGCCAGUAAAGCAUGGGAAAAGAGUGCCUGCAGUAGCACUGAUAGUAGCACAUGCUGGUCUGGGAACUGUCUAAGCUGGCCCCAGUGAAGUACAGGCAGUGAUCUGUCUUAAGGUGUAUAAUUUUCUAGUACUUUAAACAUGUAAAUCUGUCUCAGGGAAACAUCUGCCUUCACCUGGAAUACCUGAUUUUGAACUCCAUCCAGGACCAAGGCACAUAAGCUGGUUUUUUGAAAGCAAGCAAGGGUCACUGGAUUGCUUUUAAGUUAUAGGAAGAGGAGGAAGUGCUGGCAAAACUUUUAAUACCUGAUAAAUAAAGAAUGCACUCAGCUAUAUUUGACCCCUUCUGGGCAAGAGUGAAAGCUUUUAGAAAGGGGAUGAAUUGAAUCCUGCAUCUUCUACAUUUUUGACAAGCAUUUUUACUACUAAGUUAUGGAAAAAGAGCGCUAUCACCAUUUCCUCUAGCUUUCUUUUAUAAGAAAAGAGGCUGCAGGCUGCUUCUUGGGAUUUUUUGUUGUUGUUGUUUUCUUGUGGUUUUGCCUUUGUUACUUUUUAGGGGGGGGAGGUUCAGAAAGUUUGAUUCUGCGAGUUUGCAUUAUAUUGGGCUCUUUAGGAAUCAGAAGUGCAGGAUUGCCUUGAUAAGACCAAGUCAGGGGAUAAGUACUGCAGAGCAUUAUAAAAUUUGAACAAAUCUUGAACAAACACAGAAACAGACUUCUCACAGUAGAAGUUUCCCAGCCCAGGCAUAAACCCAGAAACAUGUUGAAGAUGCUUCGAUAAUCAUAAUUUUCAUUUAGGUGUCUAAGCUCUACCAAGUCCCUUUGUGAAUCUAGUCCAUGUUCUUUUCAGCUUAUUCUAAAGAAUUGUGCUUUCCUGCAGAUUCAGGGAUGAGCCCUAGCUGAUAGCCUGUCAGGGCCAUUACAUUUGCAUAAUAUUAAAUUCUAAGAUGAAUUAAUUUCUUUUAAUGCAAUAUUUACUUUAUGACACUUGUGGCUUUGAAUAUAUCAAGUAAAAAAUAAAUUCUAAAAGAGACUUCCAGACCUCAGAAUGAAACUCGUUUUUUAAACUGCUGAAAAAACUAGUGUAUCAGUAAAGUUAAACUGGCCUAUAAAAAUACUACCUCUGUCCUUCCUACAUGAGAUUGAUGUACCAGCGCAAGAAUUUUUAGGAAGGGUUUCUAAUUAUUAGUUCCUUUGGUAAGCAUAAUCUCUUGAAAGGCGAUAGUAAAAUUUAAUACUUGUCUCUUAACAUUCGCAAGCUGAUCAUGGACCUUGACGAAGACUGAAUUCAUAGCUGCAGUUUCAAAAGGCUUCCUAAAGUGCACCCCAAAGUGUCAGUUAUUUGACUACUCUAGGUGCCAUAUGUGCAUGUGUGUGGAUGUUAGGCAACUAUUAACAUUCCUUCCUAAUUUCAUUUUUACAUGAUUUAACGUAUGCUUCUUUCUGUUGUUUUAGUCUUCAUGGAAAUUCUCAUGGUUAUAUGCCUACUAAGCGCUAGAAAACACUCAUACUCUGACCAUUUUUAAUUAGCCUAUUUACAGUAGUCUCUGUUGCCUGGCAUUUUUACUUUAUGUUUUUGCUAUGCCCGUCUGCUAUGCCUUUACAUAUAUUUUAGAUUGUAAACUUGUUGGGGAGAAGGUGUGCAAAACAUCAUUUAUUCAUUACGGGUAUUUAAACAAUCCUGAGAUACCAAGACUGUUAUUUAGAUAACAGUUCUAGACACUGGCUUUGAAUUUCAGGUGAGAUUACAGUACCAAUAAUUGACAACAGUUCUAUGUGGCAUCUUCUGCAUUCCCUGCCCUGCUUUUUGCAGCUGGGUUGACUUUUUUCAUAAUCGCCCUCCCACAGUUGUCAUAAUAGAGGUUUAAGGUCUCACAUAAGAGAGUUUUCAUUCCAAGUGAAUGGCGAAUGCUGGGGCAGUAACAAGAAGUUUUAGCAUUUGGAUUAAAUAAUCCAUUUUAUAUAGAAUGCCUUAUAUAUCAGACACAAAUCUAAGUCACAAUAGUUUCUUGAAAUAUUAGAAUAAUAAGGAUAUAGAAAUUUACAAAUAAUCAGAGGCUAUGUGAACCCAAGAAAUAUAUGAAAUGGGGAAGCAGUUUGAGAUCUUCAGGAUCAUGUUUUCCCUGAAUUUCCUUAUAGUGCACAGUAAAUCUUUUAUUUGCAGUUAGAGAGUAUUAUUGUGAUUUAUCGGCUUCAUAUUUGAAGAAAAUACAGUUGGUUGAACAGUUCGCUCCCUGAAUAGAGGAGAGGCAGAAAAAUAUUUUUUCAGUCUUUUUUUUCCUUCUGAUCUGUAACAAGCAAUGCAAAAAUGCCCCUAUGGAGACUUCUUCAGACUUACCAAUGUU